GGGGGCGAUCUGGAUUCGACGUGGAUUGCGAAACCUUAGGAGCAUGUAGUGCGUUUAGUGAGCACUUAAACACUAUCUAAAAAACUUUAGUUGCCAAUGAUGACAACUACGCUCUAGCUGCUUAAUAAGCAU
rnacentral:tmRNA from 1 species